rnacentral:lncRNA from 1 species
CAGGAAAGGGCCCUGACAAGAGGAUGGGACUGCAGUUGUGGCUGCCAGGGCCCCGGCCAGGGUGAAAACAAGGAACAUUCCAGAGAAGAUCACAAGGAUGCGAAUAAAAUCGGAGCUGCACAGGGAUCUUUGGGCUGUAAUAGGAGGGGACACACAGGGGUUAGGGGAGGGUCUAGCCCUUGGCUCCCUCAGCCCAGCCCUCCUGUCACCUUGCCUCUCCCCUUUCCCCCACCUUAUUCUAUCCCACCCGCCACCGUUGGCCAACUCCUCUCCUAAACAGUGGACUCUGCUUUUUCCCCUCCUCUUAUCCCUAAUCCUAGGAGCUUUCUGUCUGGCUUCCCUCCUGGCCCCUCGUGUAUGCAUUCUCUCUAGCGGUGGGGAUUAAGGAGAAAACUCACGUGGCCAGUGGGUAGAGAGAGUCCGGGCAGGCAGCUGCCUGAAGUCAGCCAGAGUCUGCAUGUGCCCAGCUGUCCUGGCCUCCAGCAUCUCUGGAAAAACAGAGACAGAAUGAGUAGCAGCAGGGGACCCCAUAGGGCACAUCUGAAGGCCUGAGAGGUGCUGGAUGGGAUGGGAAGGCAGAAACAGGCUGACCUUAUCUAGGGGUAGGAGUGGGGAGUACUGGUUGGGGUAUCACCGCUACCCCACGUGAUGGCACAGAGAGUUGCCUGGAACUUACCACUGACAUAAGGUUGGAGUGCAGUGGCACGAUCUCGGCUCAGUGCAACCUCCGCCUCCUGAGUUCAAGUGAUUCUCCUGCCUCAGCCUCCCUAGUAGCUGGGAUUACAGGACAAGGAGAGGGACAAAUUCCUUCUUGGCAUCCUUAUGGCCCUGUGACCUGCUAAUGAAUGCUGACUCUGAGUUGCUACUAGAAUUUGGUUUCCUUGUGGCUUCCCAGGAAUUGGUCUCACUCUGCUCACUCUGUCUCCCAAGCUGGAGUGCAGUGGUACAGUCACGGCUCACUGCAGCCUCCACUUCCUGGACUCAAGUGAUCUUCUCACUUCAGCCUUCUGAGUAGCUGGGACUACAGGUAGACCCAGUGUAAUCACAAGCAUCCUUGUAAGUGGCAAAGAGGCAGAGGAGACAGCGCCAGAGAGGCAGCUGCAUGAGAAGGAUCAAGAUGUUGCUGACUUUGAAGUUGGAAGAAGAAGGCCAUGAGCCUCAGUAUGUGGGCGGCUUCUAGAAGCUGGAAGGGGCAAGGAGAUGGAUUUGACCCUUCAGCCUCCAGGGGCAGCUGUACCUGCCAUCACUGAUUGUAGCCUGGUGAGGCCUGUUUUAGACUUCUGACCUGUAGAGCUGUAACAUAAUACAUUUGGGUUGUUUUCAACCACUAAGUUUGUGGUAAUUUGUUGUAGCAGCUGUAGAAAAUGAAUACAUAUGAAUCCUCUGGCAUUUGUUUGAGAUUUGCUCUAUGGCCUAGUAUGUGGUUGUAAAUGUUCCAUCUGUGCCUGAAAAAAUGUAUAUUUCUAAUUCAGUAGUCUCUGCUUUUUUUUUUUAUUUUGUACCCCAUCAAUAAAAUGAUUUUCAGCAUGUAUCCCCAAAUAAACAAUAUUUUAUUUAUUGAUUGAUUGAUAAACAGACAUGUUUAAUGAUAGCUUGCUUUUCACAGAGGUGACUUCGGAGACUUCUAAUCUAUAAUCCAGGAGUAUAUAACCAUGCAGCACAGACCAAUUAGUCACAUGUAAAAUAAACUAGAUUCUUACCA